rnacentral:rRNA from 1 species
CCCUUAGAUGUUCUGGGCAGCACGCGCGCUACAAUGGUCUUCGCAAACGGAUGCAUUCUCGAAGGAGAAUGCCAAUCUUGGAAUCUAUGCCUUGGUCGGGACAGUUGCUUGCAAUUUUUCGACUCGAACCAGGAAUUCCUUGUAAUCGUGAUUCAUCACAUCACGAUGAAUACGUCCCUGCCCUUUGUACACACCGCCCGUCACUCCUACCGAUCGAAGAGUUAGGUGAAUUGUUUUGAUCGAUAAGAUUUGACUAUGGUCAACUCUCGUUGUGAAAUUCUGUGAAUCUGACUGUUUAGAGGAAGGAAAAGUCGUAACA